UGAAACAUGUAUGGAAUAGAGGUCGACCGAUUAAUCUCCAUGGCCAAUAAAUUAGGGCCGAUUUCAAGUUUUCAUAACAAAUCGGUAAAUCUGCCUUUUAGGACCCGACUAUGGCCGAUUACAUUGCAAUCCACGAGGAGACGGCGUGGCGGCUGACCACCUGUUACUCAAGUGCAGCAUCAAAAGGACCUUGUGGCUGCAAGGAGCCAAGGUCCCCAGGCUGCUCGUUAUGGUGCACACCUGUCACUAUCGUUACGAGCACCUGCGCGUCAUCGGACUCCAUCACCUCCCUGAUGACCUUCCCUAUAUAUGUCACUUCCUUUGGUUCCUUCCCCAGGCGUUAUUGUUUCUGUUCCUGUGUCAGUUCUGUGUGAUGUUCGUGUUUCUUAUUUUUGUAUUAUGUUGUUUUUAGUUAUUAAAAACACUCACUCCCUGAA